AUGUGAUCGUCUCUCGCAUAUCAAUAAGCGGAGGAAAAGAAACUAACAAGGAUUCCCCUAGUAACGGCGAGUGAAGCGGGAAGAGCUCAAAUUUGAAAUCUUAAAGGGUUUCCCUUUACGAAUUGUAGUUUAAAGAAGUGUUUUCUGUUGAGGUUUUGGUAAAAGUUCUUUGGAAUAGGACAUCAUAGAGGGUGAGAAUCCCGUAUUUGACCUUUACUUUCAACUUUGUGAUACACUUUCAAAGAGUCGGAUUGUUUGGGAAUGCAGUCCAAAAUGGGUGGUAAAUUUCAUCUAAAGCUAAAUAUUGGCGAGAGGACCGAUAGCGAACAAGUACCGUGAGGGAAAGAUGAAAAGAACUUUGAAAAGAGAGUUAAACAGUACGUGAAAUUGUCAAAAGGGAAGCGUUUGACACCAGUGUUGUUUUUCUGAAAAUCAAUUAAAGAACUGUUUAUGCUAAGUUGUUUAGACUUUAUCAGCUAACUGUUUAGUUUUGAGCUUUUCUUUAAUGCACUUUUCAGUUAACAAGUCAACAUCAAUUUCUUUUGCUGUAAAAAAGCUUGAGGAAGGUGGCUUGAGAUUCGUCUUAAGUGUUUAUAGCCUCUUGCCUAUGCAGUCGGAGAGAUUGAGGUCUGCAGCGUAGAUCCUUCGGGGCUAAAUGCAUUUGUGCUAAGUUAUAGUAUUUUAUAGACAACUUGUUGACUAUGAUUUGUCUUGUAGCUUACCUCGCUUAUGUUAUUUUACCUACGCUUAGGAUGUUGAGUAGCGACAUACGCAC
rnacentral:rRNA from 1 species